CCUAACACAUGCAAGUCGAACGGUAACAGGAAACAGCUUGCUGUUUCGCUGACGAGUGGCGGACGGGUGAGUAAUGUCUGGGAAACUGCCUGAUGGAGGGGGAUAACUACUGGAAACGGUAGCUAAUACCGCAUAACGUCGCAAGACCAAAGAGGGGGACCCUCGGGCCUCUUGCCAUCGGAUGUGCCCAGAUGGGAUUAGCUUGUUGGUGGGGUAACGGCUCACCAAGGCGACGACCCCUAGCUGGUCUGAGAGGAUGACCAGCCACACUGGAACUGAGACACGGUCCAGACUCCUACGGGAGGCAGCAGUGGGGAAUAUUGCACAAUGGGCGCAAGCCUGAUGCAGCCAUGCCGCGUGUAUGAAGAAGGCCUUCGGGUU
rnacentral:rRNA from 1 species